rnacentral:tRNA from 1 species
UUGGCUGAAGGCAAAGGGUGAGCCACCGGUCUGUGAAUCCGGUUCCAGAGGGUUCGAGUCCCUCCAGCCGAC